UACAGAGGUCUCAAGCGUUGUUCGGAUUCAUUGGGCGUAAAGGGUGCGUAGGCGGCGCGGUAAGUCGGGUGUGAAAUCUUGGAGCUUAACUCCGAAACUGCAUUCGAUACUGCCGUGCUUGAGGACUGGAGAGGAGACUGGAAUUCAUGGAUGUAGCAGUGAAAUGACGUAGAUAUCGUAAGGAAGACCAGUGGCGAAGGCGGGUCGUCUGGACAGUUCCGUGGACGCUGACGGCACGGAAGGCCAAGGG
rnacentral:rRNA from 1 species